rnacentral:rRNA from 1 species
CCCGGGCCUUGUAUACACCGCCCGUCACAUCAUGGGAGUUGGUUUUACCCGAAGUCGCUGACUUAACCGUAAGGAAAGAGGCGCCUAAGGUAAGGCCGAUGACUGGGAUG